GAGGUGGGGUUGGGGAUUUGAAAAGAAAAUGGGAACAAAGCAGGCAUCUUUGGAUCCUUUGUAACAACGCCUUGCUUUUUUUAAGUGGCACCUAACGCAAAGAUUUUUACACAAGAGCAGCUCGCCUUUUGCUCUUUUUUUCUUUCCUCCUCUUGUCUCCACCCACCACCAAGCCCUGCUCUUCUCUCGGCCCGAAGUAGACAGGAGAGUAUAGAAGAAGAGAGAAGGAAAAGAAAAAGAGAAGGAUUGGAGGACGAGUAAUAACUACGUCCUCCUCCUCAUUCUCUCUCUAUAUCUACCUCAUAACCUGGAGAGAGAUCGAAAUUAAAGGGAAAAAAAAGAAAAAAAAUAAAAAUUAGCGAUGAACGCAUUUUUCUUCUGAGAGAUUUGAUAUAGUACUUGCCAGAUCUGCCGCAGAAGUUUCCAUUUUCUGGCCUACAUUUCAUCCGGUUGCAUUAGUUGAAAAUGGAUCGUCGAAGUUGGCCUUGGAAGAAGAAGUCAUCAGAAAAAGCAACGACUACAACAGAUUCCACAAGCACUUCUUCAUCUAAUCCAACUGGCAAUCAAGCAGAUCAGGAAAGUACAAAAAGUGUAAAUUAUGUUCAAGUUUCUGCAGAGAAAUAUGCACAUCUCACUGACUUGGAGGACCAAGUGAAGGUCUUGAAUGAAAAAUUAUCUUCAGCACAAUCAGAGAUAACUACUAAGGAAAAUUUAGUAAAACAACAUACCAAAGUUGCAGAAGAAGCAGUAUCAGGUUGGGAAAAAGCUGAAGCAGAAGCCUCAGCACUGAAAGUUCAACUUGAGUCGGUUACGCUGUUAAAGCUUACAGCUGAACAACGGGCAUCACAUCUUGAUGGUGCUCUAAAGGAGUGUAUGAAACAGAUACGGAAUGUUAAGGAAGAAAGUGAGCAAAAAUUACAUGAUGUAGUUUUUUCAAAAACUAAGCACUGGGAAAAGAUCAAGGCUGAACUGGAAGCAAAAAUAGUUGAUUUUGAACAGGAGCUCUUGAAGGCUUCUGCUGAAAAUACUGCAGUGUCAAGAUCUCUUCAAGAACGUUCUGCUAUGCUGAUGAAGAUUAGUGAUGAAAAGUCUCAAGCUGAUGCUGAAAUUGAAGUAUUGAAGAACAACCUACAAUUGUGUGAAAGAGAAAUAAGUUCAUUAAAAUAUGAACUUCAUGUGGUCUCCAAGGAGCUUGAAAUUCGCAAUGAAGAGAAAAACAUGAGCAUAAGAUCGGCUGAUGUGGCAAACAAGCAGCAUUUAGAAGAUGUCAAGAAAAUAUCGAAAUUGGAAGCAGAAUGUCAAAGGUUACGUGGACUUGUUCGAAAGAAGUUGCCUGGCCCUGCUGCAUUAGCUCAGAUGAAGUUAGAAGUUGAAAAUUUAGGCCGAGAUUAUGGAGAUACCAGAUUACGGCGCUCUCCUGCUAAAAAUUCAAGCUUGCAUCAUAUAUCAACUCCAGUUUCAGACCUUGCCUUUGAACACAUUCAGCAGUUCCAGAAAGAGAAUGAAUUUCUUACUGCACGUCUGCUGGCAACAGAGGAAGAGACAAAGAUGCUAAAGGAGGCCUUAUCAAAACGUAAUAGUGAGCUACAAGCUUCAAGAAACAUGUGUGCUAGGACAGCAAGCAAGCUUCGUAGCUUCGAAGUGCAUUUGCUUGCUCCAAACCAACAAAUGAGCCCCUCAAAAUCAAAUAGCUUCACCCCCUUCAAUGGCAUCUUAAGCCAACAUGAAAGCAACCCACCAAGCUUGACCUCCAUGUCUGAAGAUGGUAUUGAUGAGGAAGGAAGCUGCUCUGAGUCUUGGGCUACAGCAUUAAUGUUAGAGCUCUCCCAGUUCAAGAAAGAAAAUAAUGUUGACAAAAGUAAGAAGGCAGACAAUUCAAAUCGUUUGGAAAUUAUGGAUGACUUUUUAGAGAUGGAGAGAUUAGCAUGUGUAUCAUCAGAGACCAAUGGGACUGUCACUAUUUCUGAUAGUGUGGUUGAUAGGAUGAAAAUUGAAAACGUUGAAGCCACUUCAACGGCUGAUAUUCAAAAGAAUGGGGGUGGUGAAGGACUACAGCGGGCUUUGGUGCCACCUAGAAACCUGGUUUACACUGGCAAGGAGCAAUCAGAUGGGGAGUGUGUAUCAAGCAAGUUUGCUUCUCCACUGUCAGAAUUGCAGUCACGAAUAGCUUCUUUGUUUGAAUCGGGAGCCCAGGACACUGAUAUGUCAAAACUUUUGGAAGGUAUUAGAUGUAUUGUGCAGGAUGUACAACAAGAAUUGCCUCAGCACUCUGGUUGUGUUAUCAAAGAGACUUACUCUGCAGAUGCUACCUGUGAUCAAAAUGAAGCUAUGGGUGAAACUACAGACGGUGUGAUUUCUUCAAAGCAAGAUCAUAAUUCAUGUUGUGAUGCUAAGCAUGUGAUGGAUCCAGGAUUGAAGAAUGCAAUUUCUCAGAUUCAUGAUUUUGUUGUUUCUCUUGGUAAAGAAGCUAUAGAAAUUCAAGGCAGGACUUCCGAAGACCGUGGAAUAAAUGAGAGAAUCGAGCAGUUCUCUGCCUCUGUCAACAAAGUUGUGUGUAAUGAAAUAAGUUUAAUUGAUUUUAUUCUUGCAUUGUCCAAAAUUUUGUCUGAAACCAGUUUUAACAUGUCAAGCGAUAAGCGCAAUGAAGGAGAAAGUAAUAGUUCUGAUUGCAUAGACAAGGUAACUUUACUAGAAAAUAAAGAGGUUGAGCAUGAAUCAGCAAAAGAGAAUUUCUCAGGAGUGCGUUUGCUUGUACCUCAUUCUUCCUCUGACCCUGAGAUUGAAGGGCCUGUUGGCCAUGACUUUGAAGUAAAGGCCACAUUGCAGAAGUUCUCCCUGGAGGAAUUUGAACACUUGAAAUUGGAGAAGGAGAACAUGGAGAUGGAAUUGGCUAGAUGUAAUGAAAUGCUGGAAUAUACAAAGUCUCAGCUGGUUGAAACGGAACAAAACCUGGCGGAGCUUAAAUCACAAUUGGCUGCCAGUCAGAAAUCAAACAGCUUGUCUGAGACACAAUUGAAGUGUAUGGCUGAGUCCUAUAAGACACUGGAAUCACGCACAAAGGAAUUAGAAGCUGAAAUAGUCCUGCUGCUUACAAAAGCAGAAAGUUUGGAUAAUGAACUUCAGGAAGAAAGACGCAGCCAUCAGGACGAUUUGGCCAAAUACAAAGAUCUUCAGGAGCAAAUUGAAAGGAAUGAAAAGAGUUUAAUGUGCUCUGAUGCUGACAAUGAUAUCAAGACAAAACAGAGCCAACGAUUCUCGGAUGGUGAAUACGUGAUCUACCGCAAACAAAUCGGAUUCGUUUGAAGAAUCAAGUCCUUCGAUUAAAGAGAUCUUGAGUCAAAUGAUGGCAAGAUUCGACAAGAUUGGUAAAAGAUUCGAUGAAGCACAACAAGAAAAUGUUCGAUCGUAUCAAAGACUCAAUGAUCGGAUGGAUUUGCUCCAAAAAGAACACCAAACAAUCUCUACCCCACCUCUUUCAGUGCCGAAUACAAGCCAAUCAUCUUUUUCUGUUGCCCAAACCUCUUGCACCACCGCCACUGCAUCUUCUGGUGGUGCCUCACCAUCCGGCGCCCAAAAGCAUGGCGUUGCCUCUGGAGUUCUCAUAAGGGCGCCACUGCCCAGUGGCGCAUUGCCCCAAGGGACUUCCUAGGCCCUAUUGUUGCCCACGCCUGAAGUGCCGCCCCUUUUUAUGCCUCCAGCAGCACCUAGGCUGGUGCCCUACCCUAUCGUGCCUCAAACAGCCCAUGUUUUCGGAGUCUAUGGCCAAGAACAGCUGUUGGCUGCACCUACAGGGCUGCCAGAUGCUGCCCAAAACAAUAAUCGAGUGCCCCUACACCAAAUAAAUGCCAAUAAUGAUCCCUUCGGGAUUGCUGCUACAGUGGCAACUUUCUUUGAGGCCAACAAUCAUCGUGGGCGGAACUUUGAUGAUGAUGAUUUCAUGGAUGAUGAGUGGCAAGAUCAGGACUUUUAUGGAGAAAGGAGAUUUCGGCACUGAGGAUGUAGAAAUCAAGGCCUGAAUCAUAACAAAACCUACAUGCGCAGGAUGGAAUUUCCAAAAUUUUCAUGAUCCAACCUUGAGAAUUGGUCUUUCUUAGCUGACUUAUAUUUCAAGGCUCAUGAUGUGGCAAAGGAAGAUAAAUUGUUUAUGGCAACUUGCAAUUUCGAAGGCUCGGCUCAAGAUUGGGUAUAGACUUAUGCCCGUGCACAUCCUCCACUGGAUUGGGGAACCUUUUUGCAUGCAGGGAAAGAUAUGUUUUGCAAACCUGAGGUUGAGUUAUGAGACACAAUUAAUGGAAAUACAACAACUCUUAGAUGUUGCAACUUAUAAUGUUGAAUUUAAUCGGUUGGCCUCAAGGGUGUUGAAUUGGGCUAAUAAUGUGUAUUUGGGAGCUUAUAUGAAGGGAUUGAUGUCCGAAAUCCGUGCUAAAGUGGCCGGACAUAGGCUAUAAUUGGUUUCUGAUGCUCAGUUUCAUGCUAUAAAUGCUGAGAUAGAAGUGAUGGCACUUACAAAGGAGAAGGAGAUAGCAGCAGCAGCAGAGAAGCUUGCAGAGUGUCAGGAGACGAUACGUCUUCUUGGUAGGCAAUUGCAAACAAUGCGUCCACCAGCUGAAUCUUCCACUUCCUCUCCAAACAAUAGACACCGAAUGAGUGAUUACUUGUUGGAAAAUGAACCAGGCCCAAGUGGCUUUAAC